GAAACAGGUUGAAAACAUUGAGAGAAGAAAGAAAGUGGCGAAGAGAUGGAAACCUGGGGAGAGAGAAUUUAAUACGGCAGCUUUGUCGCUGGAGCUGAAACGGAAUGAGUCUUGUUACAUGAUAAUACAUAAUCAUGAAAAGCUUACGUAUAGGACGUGGUCAACCUACUGACCACAGACAACGUACAGGACAUGGGUAAUCAACUGACCACAGUUUUACGCAAAAGCGGUUAAUCGUACGUCAUUGUGCAAUCACAUAUAAGCCGAGAAUCGAAAGCUGUAGUGAUGUUGGUGCUUAGUAGAAGUCCACAUCGGAAGAAAGCCUCGUGUAAAAGAAAACGAACUAUUUACGAAGAUAACCAAAGAAUCCAGAUAUAUAACCUAUCCAUCAACGAAAGAGUCACUGAAAGUCUGAAAGCAGUUGUCUUAGAUAAGUUUGAACAUUUAAACAUAUAUAUUAUAACGAUUAUAUCAAAUUAUUAGUAUAUUAAAUAAAUAUCUUAAGAAUUGACAACAA